rnacentral:lncRNA from 1 species
AGUCGUAUUAAAAUCUAAUGGCAUAAAAUUAAUUCAUCUGAUUUUAUUUUCUAUUAGUACUGAUUAGUAUAAAAGGUAAAAUUUGAAAACUUAUAUUUACUUUGGUCUAAAAAUUAAUAAUUUGUUAAUAUUUUAUAAUUAAUAAAGAUAUUAAAAUAAUAUUAUAUAAUUAUAUAAUAAAAUUAAAAUAAUAGUAAAAUAUUUAUGAUAUUAUGCUGAUAUUAUUACUUUUUCUUUUAACCUAAUAAUAUU